rnacentral:rRNA from 1 species
UACGAAGGGUGCAAGCGUUACUCGGAAUUACUGGGCGUAAAGCGUCCGCAGGUGGCAGUUCAAGUCUGCUGUCAAAGACCGGGGCUUAACUUCGGAAAGGCAGUGGAAACUGAACAGCUAGAGUAUGGUAGGGGCAGAGGGAAUUCCUGGUGUAGCGGUGAAAUGCGUAGAGAUCAGGAAGAACAUCGGUGGCGAAGGCGCUCUGCUGGACCAUAACUGACACUCAGGGACGAAAGCUAGGGGAGCGAAUGGG